GACGAACGCUGGCGGCGUGCUUAACACAUGCAAGUCGAACGGAAAGGCCCCUUUGGGGGUACUCGAGUGGCGAACGGGUGAGUAACACGUGAGUAACCUGCCCUUGACUUCGGGAUAACUUCAGGAAACUGGGGCUAAUACCGGAUAGGAAUCCUUGCUGCAUGGUGGGGGUUGGAAAGCUUCGGCGGUUUUGGAUGGACUCGCGGCUUAUCAGCUUGUUGGUGGGGUAGUGGCUUACCAAGGCUUUGACGGGUAGCCGGCCUGAGAGGGCGACCGGCCACAUUGGGACUGAGAUACGGCCCAGACUCCUACGGGAGGCAGCAUUGGGGAAUAUUGCACAAUGGGCGGAAGCCUGAUGCAGCAACGCCGCGUGCGGGAUGACGGCCUUCGGGUUGUAAACCGCUUUCAGCAGGGGCGAAGCUUGUGGUGACGGUACCUGCAGAAGAAGCACCGGCUAACUACGUG
rnacentral:rRNA from 1 species